rnacentral:lncRNA from 1 species
CUUAUAUUUUCACGCUGCAUUUUUAUUUUAUUAUUCUUUUAUUUGAUUAUACCUUUUAUUUUAAUGUAAAUUAUUAUCCUAUAAGUGGUUCUCCAUUCUAGCUAUGUCUGAAAUGCAGAAAUAUGUAUCAUUGUUGCGAUGUCAAAUUGAUUUUAUAAUUGUUUUGCUUAAUUCUUUGUAGCUUAAAGAGCUUCUUGUUAGUCUACUACUCUGCAUUCAGUUGAAUUGAAAUUAACACAGUUCUGUAGUUAAAAUUAUUCAAACAAUUAUAUCUGUUUGUUGUUAAUUAUAUGGAUACAAAGAGGUCCAUAUGUCAUUUUUAGCUUUAAGGUUCCAAUCAAGAAAGAGCAAGAUGUAUGACUACUUAAGAUGAAGGACAUACUAUUGUUAAUGAAUAAACAUGAAAGGAUAACUUGUUUUCCAAGUAUUGAUAUCUACAUUUUAUAAAGCCAACCCAGGUAGAUGGGUAUUGUUACAUAUGUCUAAUUAUAUUAUCAAAGCUGCUGAGUUCACUCAUUUAAAAAAUUAUGAACACUCAGAGUGUUCCUGCUAUGACUAAUUUCUACUUUGUUUAAAUAGAAUAAAACUUAGGUAAGUGAGAAACAUGAGAAUUAUCCUCAUUACUUUCUAUCUCUUACCACUCAAAUCUAAAUGAUCCCUAAGUUAGGUCUGCUUUAGAAUGUGUCAAACAUAUAUAUGACUUGCACAGGAAGUAGAAUAUUAUCUUCUUUCAAUUCAUCAUAAAACAUAUGAAAGUAUUCCUCCACAAUCCUUGCAUCUCUAAGGUACCCUCUAUCCCAUCCUACAUCUAUUCUUAACAAUUUUUAAAAUGCAAACUUAAUUAGUUCCCUUUCUUGCCCUCAAGACAUAAUAAUUUCUCUCAAGAAGAUCCUUUAUCACACUAGAUUUUAAUUACCUGUCUGUCUACUCCAUUAUAUUUGCAGUUAAAGUGUCUACUUUCUUGCUGGUCCUUUAUACCUUUGGAGUCAGCACACUGGCUUCCAUAUCUUAGAUCUCAAUAAACAGUUUUGAAUUACUGAGUGUACUGAUUGCCUUGAAAUUGCAGAUGGCUUUAGUAAACCACUUUGUGUUUGUGUGUGUAGAUUACAGCAAAGCUUUCUGCUUUCCUUUCUUGCUCUGAUACCCUCAAAAUUAUACUCUGUUCCUGGGAUUCCAGAGUCUUCUGCCACAACCAAGGCUUCCGAGGCGAUCCGGCAACAUCAGUCUUCAGCCGCUAAGCCAAGAAGAUCUGGGAAGGAGUCAAUCAGAGAGCCUUGGGCCAGAGUUCCAGGGGCUGUGGAAGUGGCUGCCAGGUGAGUUGAACAGUCCGAUUUUCAGUGGGGUCCUACACAGAUGGGACACAGCUUAGGAGGAAUCCUGGGCUGUGGGCAUUCCUUGGCCUAGUGGCCAGAUUUCUGGCACUUGUAGCAAGCUCCUGGGGGAGGAGGUUCUGGAGGAACCCCUGGCAGCUGCGGUUUGGGCGUUUGGAGUUCUUGUGUGCUGGAGAUGUGGCUGGGGUUUGUCUCACAGUGGAGGCAAGAAAUUGCAACUCAGAAAUACAUUGCUACUUGGCUGCCUCUACUCUAUUAUUGUAUAACUUGAAGGUGAGGUUAAUUAAGUCCUGUUGUGAGGUUUGAGGGCCGGAAUUUAAUUUUUGGAGUUUUAUUUAAUGUCAGGAGCGGAUUGGGUAAUAAAAUGUAUAUUGAGAAUAAGACGGCCUUUUGACAUUUUAGGGUCUUGGGCUGUAAAGCGUCUCAGGGUUGCUGCCGAACGAGCCAUGAACUGGGCUGGGUUUUUCAUAUUUGAUGAAAGAGCCUAAAUGCUAACUGAUUUGGGAGAGGUCGGAUAAAGAAAAAGAAGCAUUAACCUUGACUAUGCCUUUAGCUCCAGCCUCCUUUUUAAGAGGAAAUUGCUGGUCAGGUGGAGGAGGGCUAGUCGCGUCGCGGAACGAAACUAUAAGCCGGACUGGGUGUGAGGAGGGGAGGUGAUAAAAGGAUUAUAGGGUGGGGGAGCAGAGGCUGAGGAAGAAUUGGGACCUGGCUUGACCUGGCUUGGCCUGGCGAGGAGCAGCCUGGGGAGGAGGAGAGAGGUCAGAUGGGUCUGUAGAAAAGGAAGAUUAGAAAGACUCAGCGACGCUUGGGGUUGGGACUGAGAGGACAGGCGGGAGGGAAAGAAGGAGGAUUUGGGAUGAGUCACAUUGGGAACAGAGAGUACGGAGAGAACAAUGUGUAAAAGAAUGCCUGGACGUCAGGCACCUCAGACCAUUUGCCCAUUUUACGACAAGAAUUAUCGAGAUCUUGUGGGAUGGAAAAAUCGAAAGUGCCGUUCUGUGGCUAUUUUAGAGCCUUUGUCAAGUUUGUAUUGGGGCCAAGCGGUGUUGCAGAAUAAAAUAAGAUGCUUAGAUUUUAGGUCAGGCGAGAGUUGAAGAGGUUUUAAGUUCUUAAGAACACAGGCUAAGAGAGAAGAAGGAGGAAUGGAGGGUGGAAGGUUGCCCAUAGUGAAGGAGGCAAGUUUAAAGAGAAGGGUAGAGACACGGAGAAGGGGGUGGGGAGCAGCCCUGGGCUGCAACGUGGGUGAGCAGCCAAAGCAGGCGUCCUUGCAAUUGACUUGCCACCAAGGGAACAUGGGCGAAUGAUCAAGGAAGGCACCCCUGCGGAGAUCAGACACCAGUGGAACGUGGGUGAAUAAUCCAAGAGGCAUCUCGGCGAUGAUUAAACACCAAGGUAAGGCUGUCUUCCCGAGUCCGUGACCGGCGCCGGAGUUUUGGGUCCACAGAUAAAAUGUGUCUCCUUUGUCUCUACCCGAAAAUGAAAGGAACUGAAAUUAACAGAAGGGAGAGAUUGAAGUGUGGCGCCAAGCUUGAAAGGAGAAAGAGGUUGAGGGAUAGUGAGGGAGGUUGGAGAAGAGAGUAAAAAGAGGCCGCUUACUGGAUUUGAAAUUGGUGAGAUGUUCCUUGGGCUGGUCAGUCUGAGGACCUGAGGUUGUAGGUGGAUCUUUCUCAUGGAGCAAAGAGUAGGACAGGGGAUUGAUCUCCCAAGGGAGGUCCCCUGAUCCCAGUCACGGCACCAAAUUUCACUCGCGUCCGUGUGAAGAGACCACCAAACAGGAUUUGUGUGAGCAACAAGGCUGUUUAUUUCACCUGGAUGCAGGCGGGCUGAGUCUGAAAAGAGAGUCAGUGAAGGGAGAUAGGGGUGGUGCCGUUUUAUAGGAUUUGGGUAGGUAAAGGAAAAUUAGUCAAAGGGGGUUGUUCUCUGGCUGGCAGGAGUGGGAGGUCACAAGGUGCUCAGUAGGGGAGCUUUUGAGCCAGGAUGAGCCAGGAGAAGGAAUUUCACAAGAUAAUGUCAUCAGUUAAGGCAGGAACAG